CCAGUAUCUGUCAAUCAACAAAGAUGAAAAAUAUCAGCUGCAAAUUCAAACAUCUCAGAAGCUGCUACUUCAUGGGUUGUUCGGCUCCAAUAACCCAACAAUUCAUUUUUGCUUGUUGCAGAUGUAACUUUACCAACUUUAAGCUCCUUCUAUUUUAAGCUGCCAAAUCCAGAUCUCAUUUUGUAAUUGUGAGUGAUCUAGCUUUGUCUGAAGAAUAAGUCUUAUAUUAACUAUUUUGUCACCUCUUCCCUCAUCAAGCUCCUAAAUAAUAGAGAUUUGGCAGUGGUCCUGGAAACUUGGUCACAGAUCGAAAGCGCAUCCAGUGAAAAAUACAUAGCAAUGGCCCGAAAAAGAAGGAAGAAAUAGUUCUUCAAGGACGAGGGUUCUAUGUUGCUCAGAUUUUCAAGAUACAUCCUCUGCUCUUGUAUUUGCCACUAUCACCAACUACGUAAACUUUGAGGAGAUAAAUUACAGGAAAAUGGCACAGUAUUAUAGGAGAAAGGAAUUGGAAUGGAAGUCGUGUUAUUUGCUGAACUCCAAGGUGCAUCUUGCAGACUCCUUUCUCAAUCCAGAAUAUGGAUACAAAGUUUUCCUGGCCGUUUUAAAAUUACAUCGGAAAGUCUACGAAGACAUUAACUUCAGACUUGCAUUAUUUCAUAGACUGGCGAAGAUGCUCUGCACAGUUUGAUUUGAAUAUUCCUUUUCUGCUACAUGUUUGAUUUUCUUCAGGAGAAAAAUCCCACUUUCAGAAUGCAACAUUAACAGGUCGUAUUUACUGAAAUCCUCAGGUGAUUGUCUGUGAGAAUUAUAAUUAACAGCUGGAAGGACGAGCUGAAGGUGGGCUGGUGGCUCAAGGAGGGAAGAUAGAGACCGACUAUUGGGUCCUUCAUCAUGUAACACCUACGUGAGCUGCAAAGUUGAACGGAAGCUGAUUUACCGGGUCCUGAAUUCCCUGGGUCUGCCACGAUGACAAUUUCUCCAUUGAUCAUUCUUGAGGGAAUAGCAGCUCCCAUAAUUAAACGGUCAGUCAUUUUGCUGUGAACGGAGUUCAGGUACUUCGUGAUGCGAAGAGUUAAGGGAAGCGGUUUCUUUUUGGUUGUACUCAUGGUCUUUCUCAUGAUUUGUAAUGUACACUGGAAUGACUGUGAAGAAGCAUUGGGAACUUGAGCAUCAAAGUUAACAUAAAGACAUUCUGAUCUUUAGCCUUUAGCUAUGCCUCGGAUCCAUUGCUUGUCUCUGAGGUUUCUUCUUUGGCACUCAUAGAAAUAUUCCUAGCUCAGCAGAUGUUCCUUUCUCCA